rnacentral:rRNA from 1 species
GAUGAACGCUAGCUACAGGCUUAACACAUGCAAGUCGAGGGGAAACGAUGAGAGAGCUUGCUCUCUUAGUCGUCGACCGGCGCACGGGUGAGUAACGCGUAUCCAACCUGCCUCUGACCAAGGGAUAACCCGUCGAAAGUCGGACUAAUACCUUAUGCAGUCGUCGGAAGUCAUCUGAUGACGACGAAAGAUUUCAUCGGUGAGAGAUGGGGAUGCGUCUGAUUAGCUUGUUGGCGGGGUAACGGCCCACCAAGGCGACGAUCAGUAGGGGUUCUGAGAGGAAGGUCCCCCACAUUGGAACUGAGACACGGUCCAAACUCCUACGGGAGGCAGCAGUGAGGAAUAUUGGUCAAUGGGUGUAAGCCUGAACCAGCCAAGUAGCGUGCAGGAUGACGGCCCUAUGGGUUGUAAACUGCUUUUAUGCGGGGAUAAAGUGAGGGACGUGUCCUUCAUUGCAGGUACCGCAUGAACAAGGACCGGCUAAUUCCGUG